AUCCAACUGACGAGUUCCAAAUAGGACAAACUACGCGUCCUGGAU
rnacentral:hammerhead_ribozyme from 1 species